rnacentral:lncRNA from 1 species
GGUGAUGAUGGUGAGAAUGGGUUUUUAGGGAAGACAGGGACUGCAGGAAGGAGGGUAAGUGUAAACUCUACAUCUUUGAUAAAUCCAAGAUCAUUUUCAGUUUUUAGGUAUAUUAUCAGAUUUGUGUUACUGGUAAAGUAAAAGUUGUACAUUUGAUAAAAAUAGGAAAGAGGCAAAAACUGUGUUAACAAGUUUAUACAUAAAAUAAUGUUUCAUAUAUGUGCAGUCCUAGAAUGCACAUAUAUGAACACAGACGUGUUCCCAUACUGAAAUAAACUUUAAACAAAUUUUCAGGGAAAACGUGGAAAGGCAGGAAUGAGAGGGAUAAGGGGAGACAGAGGACCAAAGGGAGAAAAGGGAGACACAGGACCAGAAGGACUUUCUGGGUGGCCAGGUCUUAUUGGACUUCCUGGGCUGCGUGGAGAGCUGGGAAAUGAAGGUGAAGAAGGAAAAGAGGUAAACAAUAAUUUGAAAUGGACCUGAAAGUUAAUAGGUUAAGUAAUUAGUUGCAACAUGGUAUCAUAAUCCAUGGAUUCAUAACAACAUCAUCUUAAGUGUUAUGAAAAACCUAAAAUUUAAAUUUUUAGCAUAUAAAUAAAAAACACAAGCAGCAGUGAAUUUUCA